AGUGGGCUGAUUUCCCCUUUGCACUCAAGACCCACCAGUCCCUGAGGUACCUACACCUCUCAGCCAAUGAGGUCCUGGAUGAGGGUGCCAAGUUGCUGUAGGAGACAGUGAGACACCCAAAUAGCAUCUUGCAGAAGUUGUCGUUGGAAAACUGUCAUCUUAUAGAAGCCAGUUGCAAGGACCUUGCUGCUGUUUUGGUUGUCAGCCAGCAGCUGACACAACUGUGCUUGGCCAAGAACCCCACUGGGGAUAAAGGGGUGAAGCUUCUGGGUGAGGGUUUGAGUUACCCUGAGUGUAAACUGCAGACGUUGGUGUUACAGCAAUGCAAUAUCACCAAGCGUGGCUGCAGACAUCUCUCAAAGCUACUCCAAGAAGUCCUCACAAACUUGGACCUGAGUCUCAAUCACAUGGCUCGUGGAUUACGGAUUCUCUUUAAGGCGUUAGAGAACCCAAACUGUAAUCUAAAACACCUACAGUUGAAGACCUAUGGAACUAAUUUGGAAAUCGAGAAGCUGUUGGUGGAAGUGAAAGAAAACAAUCCCAAACUGAUGAUUGAUUGCAAUGCUUCCGGGGCAACGGCACCCCUGUGCUAUGACUUCCUUUGCUAA
rnacentral:lncRNA from 1 species